rnacentral:lncRNA from 1 species
GUUCCUCCAUGUUCUCAAAAUCAAAACCGCCUAUCUCAUUCCUCUUGACUAUCCCAACAUGAUAUAUAGUCACUAAUUUAUCCAUCUAUUCCAAAAAAAUAAACAAGAACUCAUCAUUUUAUUGAACCAUUGUGAAAAGGCAAUAAUCUAGCAUGUCUGCGAUGCCUAAUGACCAAUGAACUAGUUGAAUUUUUUAUACGAUCCCUCUCUUAAUUCCACUAUAUUUCUACGUAUGCCAAUAUACAUGGAGUUCAAAAAUGUAAGGGAAAUCACAUCUACGGGAUGCACAAAUCAACUAUACAUGCACCUAGAGUACUAAUACACACAUCUAAACCUUCAAUCUCACUACGAACCGAUGGGAAAUUCACAUUUUAACCUAGGGUAUCACUUGGGAAAUUCACGGAAUGUGGCUAUAAGAAGAAAUUCCAAUGGACAAAAUCAACAGGGGAAGGGAGGUUACCUUGCUUGAUCCGGAUUUGAACUCGCCCGAGCUCGAAUCGGUGGAGAAUGGCUAGAUCUAGAAGGGGAAGGGAGGAGGGAGGGGGCACCAACUGCUCCUCUCUAUUCAAAAAGAAUAAACAGAGAGGAAGGGAGGAGGGAGGGGGCACCGACCUCUCAAAAGAACAAAUACAGAGGGAGGAAGGGGGAGGCGACGGCGGGCUGGCACCGUGGGAGCGGAUAAGGUUUCGGCAGAACGGCGCCAUGCCCCUUAGCGUCGUGUGGGAACAGCACGAUGCCGUGGUCUUUAGGGUCGUGUAUUUCGGCACGGCGCCACAGGUGUACUUUGACGUGGCAAUGCACGGUGCCAAAGAUCAUGGUGUUGUGCCUUUAACAUAUGGCGCUAAGUGAUGUGGCGCCGUGAGUAAGGUCCAUUUUUGGGAAUCUUUCCGUGUGGUCCAGAUGUAAAAGAUUUACCAAAAAAGGACAAAAAUGAAAAAAAAAUAUACACUCCUCUCUCGCCUAUCCCUUUCCAUUCCUUGGUAACCGUAGGUAACUGCCAUUCCAUCCUAGUCGCAUGUCGUGGCAAUUCCAUUCUACCCACUUAAACGUCAAAUUUUAUUUUUGAUAUGUCCUUAUUGCACCAUCGUUAGUUCGUAAUUUACUUUCCGUCCGACAAUUUACAUGACGCUCUAGGCUUUGUCUUGUUACUUUCUAGGACAAUUGCUAAAUUAUAAUUUGGUUAGCACGCAGCCACAUUUCACAGAGCGCUUUGCUUCGAUGAUUGUGCGAUGUUCGUUGGUUAUUUAUUUUUUCAGACUUAGAACAUUGUUCGUUGUUUGUCUUGUUUGCAAAAUUUGAAAGAAAUUACUAAUUAUCCGUCUAUAAGUCAGGUUGGGUUACAAGGUGUCUUGUUUGCUGAGUACAUUUGCAAGUGAACUGCUCUAGACAAGUAGUAAUGGUUUGACAACUACGGAGGGCGUGUAACUGAAGCGAGAAAUUUAGAGCAUUUGAUCUGGAGCUACCUCUGUCGUUGCUUGCCUCGGCAGAAGAAGCUUGUACGGUCGGCAAUCCCAUAAAAUUGUGCUGUCAGGUGCCCUACUGUAAUGAACAUUUUUUUUUAUCUCCUCUUGAUUUUAGUACAAAACAAAAGAGCUCGCGCUUCUUGCUUUGCUGAGUCCAAGAAAUGCCACACCUCAGAAAUUUUAAUUAUGAACUGGCUAUAAAUGGGAUUUCUCCUGAUUCGAAGGAAACUAGCUAGACGGUUUUCAAAUCUUUGAGUGGUAAAGACUCUUUGUUCCAGCUGAGCUCCUGAGGGACGACAGUGCAAGGCCUUGUUUACUUGACAAAUUUGGGAGGUGCCAAAUUACUGUUACAGCACUGUAGCACACUGUAGCGUUUCGUUUGUAUUUGUGAAUUAUUAUCCAAAUAUUGACUAAUUAGGCUUAAAAGAUUCGUCUCGCAAAGUACAACAAAACUGUGCAAUUAGUUUUUAAUUUCGUCUACAUUUAGUACUCCAUGCAUGUACCGCAAGUUUGAUGUGAUGGGGAAUCUUCUUUUUGCAUAGUGUCAAAGUUAGGAGUUGGGGGUGAAGUAAACAAGGGGCAAGUUUCUCUUGUAGCGAGUACAGAAAGUCAAAAUCCGUAAGACCACUUUAUAACUGUACGACUACAAGUCGUAGUAGCUGUCUAGCAGCCAAGGAUAGUCUGAGUGCGCACUGUUAUCAAGAUUGUCAUGUAAUUUUUCCGACGAAAUGAAACUAUCACUCUCAGUGCACAGUUUAUAAAUAGCCUGGAUCAUUUAAUUUUUACAUUGUGUUAUGAUCAAAUGUAUCAUGCUAUGAAACCAUAACAUGCUCAGUGCAAGUUUCAUGAGGUUUCAUAAGACCUGGUAGCUGUGCCAACAGUUUUAUAAAUAGCCUGGAUCAUUUUAUUUUUACAUUGAGUUAUGAUCAAAUGUAUAAUGAUCAAAUGUAUCAUGCCAUGAAACCAUAACAUGCUUAGUGCAAGUUUCAUUAGGUUUCAUAAGACUUGGUAGCUGUGUCAAGUGGGUUUCAUCGAAAUGAAACUCCCCUCCCCUCAUAAUUAACGUCAGCAGUUUUACUGAUGUGAUAUGUGAUUUAAUACCUAUAAAAUCCCAUAACACUCUCAUUGAGACUGGACUAAUAACACUCUCAUUGAGACUGGACUAAAAAACCCCAUAACACUCUCACUCUCAUUGAGACUGGACUCAAAGUGACUAAAUCACAUAAGCAAGACCACUUUGCAAUCUGAAGAAGCAAUGUCACCACGUGCCAAGGUCCCCUUUGCACCCUUGCAACUUUUCUUUGUGGGUUAAAAGAAUAUGCAAGGCAUGUGACCCCGAAAGCUAAAACUUGGACAGACUGAAAGCGAAACAAUGGAGUACUAAACUCCAUGAUGCAUUAUAGUAUCACAUGUAAACACACACUAUCCGAUUCCACUGACCACUAUCAUUACAAAAUGAUCACCACAACCCAAUAAACAAUCCAAAGAGCUACAUCACACACCUCUAAGCCUUCCUUUUUUCCCCUUCUUCUCUGAAGAAUCCAGCAACAAUAUAUAUAUAAAUAAAGUAAAAUGGCCCUUCUUAUUUUCUGCACCAACAAGGGACACGAAUUGGACAAAGAAAAGAAGAGGGUUCCAAUAAGUCACAAGAAAAACAUAACACAUCAGCGCACACCUUAGGCCCCCAACGCCAGCGCCGCGGCCACCAUCGCAGCCGCGGUGCCCCACCGGGUGAGCAUGGAUGGCGCGGCGCCGGCCUUGUCCGCGGCGUCGUCGGCUGAGUCGUCGGCAGCUGGGCCGUCAGCGCUGUCGUCGUCCGAGGGCGCGGCGGCCGCCGAUGUGCUUCCAGGCUUCUUCUUGGUCUUCUUCUUGGGCACCUCCGGUGCGGGCGACGGCGCCAGGUCCUCAGCUUUUUUGGGCUUGAACAACUCCUUGGGCUGCAGGAACUUGGAGACGGCGUAGAUGGCGAGAGGGUCAUCGUCCCUGACGGUGGCCUGGAUGGUGGAGGUGGUGACCGUGGUGUCGAGCGUGACGGUGUCUGCCUCGGUCUGCGCUUCGUAGGUGUAGUCCUUCUUGGCAACGCUGGUGCUGGCGAGCGUGGUCACCUUGCCUUUAUUGGACUUGAGGAACUGCAUGGAGUAGUAGUCCGGCACGGCGUGGUAGAGCAGGAUGGCCGUCUUGGCCUUGGCCGUCAGGUUCUUGAACUUUGGCAUGAAGGCGGCCACGGCGGCGUCGACAGGGCAGAAGAGCGUGAGCGCAGUGUCCUUGGUUCCGUUGAUGGUAUCGAAGGCUUUGGCAUCGGCAGCUAGGAG